rnacentral:rRNA from 1 species
UACAGGGGGUGCAAACGUUGCUCGGAAUCAUUGGGCGUAAAGCGCACGUAGGCGAUUCGUUAUGUCGGAUGUGAAAGCCCUUGGCUUAACCGAGGAAGUGCAUCCGAAACUGGCGAGCUAGAGUACGAAAGAGGAUCGCGGAAUUCCCGGUGUAGAGGUGAAAUUCGUAGAUAUCGGGAGGAACACCGGUGGCGAAGGCGGCGAUCUGGGUCGAUACUGACGCUGAGGUGCGAAAGCGUGGGGAGCAAACAGG